rnacentral:rRNA from 1 species
AACGAACGCUGGCGGCAUGCCUAACACAUGCAAGUCGAACGAGACCUUCGGGCUUUGUGGCGCACGGCUACGUAACGCGUGGGAACUUGCCCUUAGGUUCGGUAUCACUCCCCGAAAGGGGUCCUAAUACCGGUUAAUGUCUUCGGACCUAAGAUUUAUCGCCUUUGGAUGGGCCCGCGUUGGAUUCGCCAGUUGGUAGGGUAAAAGCCUACCAACGCGACGAUCCAUGGCUGGUCGGUGAGGAUGAUCAGCCACACUGGGACUGAGACACGGCCCAGAAUCGUACGGGGGGCAGCAGUAGGUAAUAUUGGACAAUGAGCGAAAGCCUGGUCCAGCAAUGCCGGGGGAGUGAGGAAGGGCUUAGGAUUGUAAAGCUCUUUUACCCGGGAUGAUAAUGACAGUACCGGGAGAAGAAGCACCGGCUAACUCCGUG